rnacentral:rRNA from 1 species
UACGUAGGGGGCGAGCGUUGUCCGGAUUUAUUGGGCGUAAAGAGCGCGCAGGCGGUCGUAUAAGUCGAAUGUGAAAGCCCCCGGCUCAACUGGGGAGGGUCAUUCGAUACUGUUCGACUCGAAGGCAGGAGAGGGAAGUGGAAUUCCGGGUGUAGUGGUGAAAUGCGUAGAUAUCCGGAGGAACACCAGUGGCGAAGGCGACUUUCUGGCCUGUUCUUGACGCUGAGGCGCGAAAGCUAGGGGAGCAAACGGG